GAGAAAGUAAGUACUGUCAUCAAUAGGAGUAUCUUCACGCGGCACUAAACUUGAGACAUGUGGGCAGUCUUCGACUUUGAGCUCUUCUAAGCUAUCAAGGUUUUUCAGUAAGUCAGGUGUAAAUACGGUAGUCAACUAAGGGCAUGUGACUAAGGCCAAGCAUUUAAGAUGAGACAAGGAUCCUCGACGCGGCAGCCCCUCAUAAAUGCACCUCAAACUCUUCAUAUGAUAUA
rnacentral:lncRNA from 1 species